rnacentral:rRNA from 1 species
UGUUAGACUUGGGACCGGGAGAGGUAAGAGGUACUGCAGGGGUAGGAGUGAAAUCUUGUAAUCCCUGUGAGACCACCAGUGGCGAAGGCGUCUUACCAGAACGGGUCCGACGGUGAGGGACGAAAGCUGGGGGCACGAACCGGAUUAGAUACCCGGGUAGUCCCAGCUGUAAACGAUGCUCGUUAGGUGUCAGGAACGGUGCGACUGUUUCUGGUGCCGAAGGGAAGCCGUGAAACGAGCCACCUGGGAAGUACGGCCGCAAGGCUGAAACUUAAAGGAAUUGGCGGGGGAGCACUACAACGGGUGGAGCCUGCGGUUUAAUUGGACUCAACGCCGGAAAACUCACCGGGGGCGACAGCAAUAUGUAGGUCAGGUUAAAGGUCUUACCUGAAUCGCUGAGAGGAGGUGCAUGGCCGUCGUCAGUUCGUACUGUGAAGCAUCCUGUUAAGUCAGGCAACGAGCAAGACCCGUGCCCACUGUUACCAGCAUAUCCUUUAUGGAUGAUGGGGACUCUGUGGGGACCGCUGCUGCUAAAGCAGAGGAAGGUGCGGGCUACGGUAGGUCAGUAUGCCCCGAAUCUCCCGGGCUACACGCGGGCUACAAUGGUUGGGACAAUGGGUAUCUACUCCGAAAGGAGUUGGCAAUCUCUUAAACCCAAUCGUAGUUCGAAUUGAGGGCUGUAACUCGCCCUCAUGAAGCUGGAAUCCGUAGUAAUCGCGUUUCAACAUAGCGC